rnacentral:misc_RNA from 1 species
AUAAACUACAAUUCAAGCCCAAGAAUAGGUCCUAACAUUUAUGCAUUACCAAACUCUAAACACCCAUGGAUAUAUAUACUAAAAGGGCAAGACCUAAACCACCAAUUUUCACUACCGUCACCACCAACUUCACCAUCACUAGCAACUUCUUUACUAAUCUUCAAGGGAAAAUGGCAGGGUAGCUUGAAAACAUCAAACAUGUGAAGGAAAAAUAGUAGUGUCAGAAGGAGAUCCAAUUCUCUUUCUGCUCAACACAUGAACACCCAAAAGAAACAGAAAAAAAUGCGGUAAACCAAAAGAAAACCUUGGAUUAGGGCCAACGCCGAACGAAUUCGGAAAAUAACAUGGCAACGAUGACUAGAUUCGAU